GUGUUGGCUUUGACAGCACAUGAACUAAAAAUGGAAUGGUACAGAGAAGAUGAACUUGGCCCCUGGGCAGGAAUGAUAUGCACAUUCAUGAAACAUUUCAUAUUUAA
rnacentral:snRNA from 1 species